UACGAAGGGGCUAGCGUUGUUCGGAAUCACUGGGCGUAAAGCGCACGUAGGCGGAUUGCUAAGUCAGGGGUGAAAUCCUGGAGCUCAACUCCAGAACUGGCCUUGAUACUGGCGACCUUGAGUCCGGGAGAGGUGAGUGGAACUGCGAGUGUAGAGGUGAAAUUCGUAGAUAUUCGCAAGAACACCAGUGGCGAAGGCGGCUCACUGGCCCGGUACUGACGCUGAGGUGCGAAAGCGUGGGGAGCAACAGG
rnacentral:rRNA from 1 species